CCUACGGGUGGCUGCAGUGAGGAAUAUUGCUCAAUGGACGAGAGUCUGAACCAGCCAAGUAGCGUGAAGGAUGACUGCUCUAUGGGUUGUAAACUUCUUUUAUAUGGGAAUAAAAUGCUCCACGUGUGGGAUUUUGUAUGUACCAUAUGAAUAAGGAUCGGCUAACUCCGUGCCAGCAGCCGCGGUAAUACGGAGGCUCCGAGCGUUAUCCGGAUUUAUUGGGUGUAAAGGGUGCGUAGGUGGAUUGUUAAGUCAGUUGUGAAAGUUUGCGGCUCAACCGUAAAAUUGCAGUUGAAACUGGCAGUCUUGAGUACGGUAGAGGUGGGCGGAAUUCGUGGUGUAGCGGUGAAAUGCUUAGAUAUCACGAAGAACUCCGAUUGCGAAGGCAGCUCACUAGACUACAACUGACACUGAGGCGCGAAAGUGUGGGUAUCAAACAGGAUUAGAUACCCGUGUAGUC
rnacentral:rRNA from 1 species